rnacentral:lncRNA from 1 species
AAUCAGAAGACAGAGGUAUGUUUCAAGUGUUAUUGGCCUCUAGACUGUUAUUAUUUAUACCAUGGAAGCUCUGAGUACAUUGUACCAGGGACAUACUAAAUGUCAGCAAAAAUAGGAGUACAUUCUACACUGGAAACAGUAAAUAUCAGCUAAAAAUUGAGAGUCAAUAUUUUUCCCAAAUACUAAAUGUCAUAAAAAAAGUGAAUACAUUGUACCAUGGAAGUACUAAAAUGCCAGCUAAAAAAGUAGGUCUCGCCGGGAUUCGAACCCAGGUCGCCAGAUUCAAAGUCUGGAGUGCUAACCACUACACUACGAAACCAUUUGUUGAGUGUGACUCACUGAUGGUUAUAUUUCUGUCAUUUGGCUUACAGACAAAAUAUUGUUUCUUUACUCGACGCUUCCUGUUUAAUUUUCUUCUUCUUUUUGGUUUCCUUCCAGUUGCUACUUGGUAGCUAAAUGGAGCAAAGGAAUAUCCGAUGAAUGACUUAUUUCAAUUAUCUUUUCAAUUCAUUUUAGCCAAAGGCUCCAUGGCAUGGGUACGAUCAUUUGGAGUUGCUAUUAGGAUUUACUAGGUGUAUUAGGUACAAUAAUUUGGAAAAAGUAACAUGGUCGAUACAUUCUGUAUGGCCUUGAAGGACAAUUGUUUUUGUUGCCGGAUGUGCUUUCAACCACUGACUAGUGGCCAUUGCAGUUCCUUCUUCAUGUUCAAUCACAUUGCAAGAAUACAAUAUUGUUAGUUUUUGUAUGGGUCCGCAACACAUUGCUAGAAUAGAAUAUUAAUAAGGCAUUGAUGUUCCAUCUUAAGAACAUAGGUAUACUCUUCUAUGGAAAUAAGUAGUUCAGUUCGGUCUCCACCGUAAGAAGUGGGCAAGGGAUACGUUCGGUUGCAGUGACUGAUCUGAAGUUUGUGGCUAUAGUUACUGAAUUUGCCUUUCUUGAUAGUGUACUGUAUAUUUUGGCAAGGUUUAGUCAUACCAAUAGAAAUCAGAAGACCGGGAUGUUUUAAGUGUUAUUAGCCUCUAGACUUGAGUAUUUGUACCAUGGAAGGUCUAAGUACAUUGUACCAGGAAAUACUAAAUGUCGGCAAAAAUAGGAGUACACUCACCAUGGGAACAUUAAAUUUCAGCAAAAAGAAAUGGGAGUUGAUAUUUCCCCCAAAUACUAAAUGUCCUAAAAAAGUGGGUACAUUGUACAUGCAAAUACUAAAAUGCCAGCUAAAAAAGUAGGUCUCGCCGGGAUUCAAACCCAGGUCGCCAGAUUCAAAGUCUGGAGUGCUAACCACUACACCACGAAACCAUUUGUUGAGUGUGAUCCACCGAUGGUUAUAUUUGUGUCAUUUGGCUUACAGACAAAAUAUUGUUUCUUUACUCGAUGCUUCCUGUUAAAUUUCCUUCUGCCUUUUUGGACUAGUUCUAGUUGCCACUUGGCAGCUAAAUGGAGCAAGGAAUAUCCGAUGAAUGUCUUAUUUUUUCUUUUCUUUUCAAUUCAUUUUAGCCAAAUACUUCAUUGCAUGGGUACGUCAUUUUGUAUCGUUGAGUGAUAUAGGAUUUACUAGGUGUUUGAGGCAUGAUAAUUUGGAAUAAGUAAUAUAGUUGUUCCAUUCAGUAUGACCUUGAGGGAUGAUUGUUUUGAUUGACCAACUGUGCUUUCAACCACUCGCUACUGGCCAUUGCAGUUUCUUCUUCAUGGUCACUAACAUUGCUAGAAUACAGGAUUUUGGGUGUACGGUCCUGCGUCACAUUGCUAGAAUAGAAUGUUAAUGAGGCAUUGAUGUCCCAUUUUAAGAACAGGGGUACACACAUCUAUGGAAGUAAGUAGUUCAGUUCAGUCUCCAGCGUAAGUAGUGGGGAAGAGGCAUGUUUGGUUGCAGCUACUAAUCUGAAGUUAGUAACUAUAGGUACUGAAUUUGCCUUUCUUGAUAAAAGGGCAGAUCGGUGCAUGUAGCUCCCGCUUGCGCGGGGUCCAGGGAAUUUGCCUUUCUUGAUAGUGAAAUGUAAUUUUGGCGAGGUUAUAGUCACACCAAUGUAAAUCAGAAAUCAGGGGUAUGUUUCAAGUGUUAUUGGCCUCUAGACUGUUAUUAUUUGUACCAUGGAAGCUCUGAGUACAUUGUACCAGGGACAUACUAAGUGUCAGCAAAAAUAGGAGCACAUUUUUUUCUUUCGGGAAAACACAAAGGCUUGCGUUUCUUUUCAUUGAAAAGGGAGAGAAUAUGUACAGUACAUGCCUUCGAGAAGUAGGCUACAGGGGCUCCAAAGAAAGAAAAGGAAAGGAAAAGGAAAAGGAAAGAAAGGCCUGCACAAGACUAGUGCACAUCCCAGGUAGGCGGCACAAUCGUCCCAAGGCCGGUGGCCCCAGCCCGAACCCAAAGGGAGGCUUCCUCUCUGAUCUUUGCCGAAAGCACGGCAGUGGAGGGCCGUUCGCCGUCGAACACACAUGAGUUGCGGUGCUUCCAAAGCAUCCAUGCUGUGAGGAGGGUUGCCGUGGCGAGGCCCUUGCGCAUAGCUUUAGGCGUGUCCAGCUUGGUUUGCAUCCACCAGUCGUUUAGGGAGGCCUCUUGGUCUGGCGGCUGGCAUGUCAAACGCAGCCAGGAGAGCGUGUCAUGCCACACCUGCCGCGAGAAGGGGCAGGUGACUAGCAAGUGGCGCAUCGUUUCAUGCUCUUGGUCGCAAAGGACACAUCGUGGAUGGUGUUGAAGGCCGCGGCGGCGCAGACGGUCCGCUGUCCAGCACCUGUCCAGAUUAGCAAGCCAUUGGAAGAACUUGACGCGGGGUGGCGCCCAGCUUUUCCAGGUCAGCUUCCAUGCAUCGCAGCUAGUGGAGCCCUGGAAGGUGACGAGGUACGCACUGCGCGCAGAGUAGCAGCCAUUUGAAGUCCACCUCCAGAUUAGCUGGUCCGGUCCCUCGGUGAGAACAAAGCCUUCGGUUUCGCGCCACAGCAGCAAGUAUUGGCCUAUUUCAUGGAUGCCUAGGUGGCCGUGGAUGUCUCUAGCCCAGGUGUGGUUGAGGAGGCCUUCUGCAAUGGUGCGCUGCUUGCGCCGUCGCUUGGGGAUGCAAGCGUAUAGCCUUGGCGCGACCUCGCUGACGGAGCGGCCACCGAUCCAGCGGUCCUCCCAGAAUCUCCCCGUUCUGCCAUCCCCCACGGCCAGUGUGGUGGAGGCGAAGAACAGGGCCUGCUCGUCCUUGGAGAAUUGGAGAUCGAGGCCGCGCCAAGCCCGGCCCUCAUCGAUACGGCUGAACCAGAGCCACCGCAGUCGGAGGGCGAGCCCCGCGCGCUCCAUGUCCUGGCCGCCUAGGCCGCCGAGGGAAAGCGGCCGGCAGAUGCGUCGCCAGUUGACGUGGCAGCUGCCACCGUUUGCGGCUGCGCGGCCCUCCCAGAGGAAUCCUCUCUCAAUUUUUUCAAUGAGCUUGGUGGUCUUCUUCGGAGGGGCGAAGACGAGGAGCUGGUGGAUGGGGAUAGCGCAGAGAACUGACUUGACGAGGGCGAGGCGGCCCGAUUUGUUCAUGAGCCGAGAUUUCCAGCCGGGGAGCAUGCCCCCCCACCUUGUCGACCAAUGGCUGCAGCUGGGCGCUCGAGGGUCGCCUGAUGGUGAGGGGGAUCCCGAGAUAUGUGAGCGGUAGGGUCGCGAUCUUGCACCCAAGGAGCUCCGUGGCCAGGUCUGUAUCUCCCGGAUCGCAGUUGAGCAUGGUGGCAGAGCUUUUGUUGUAGUUGACGCGCAGCCCCGAGGCUCGACCGAACAGCUCCAGGAUCGCCUUGAUCGCAGCAAUGUCACUCCGGGAGGGGUGGCAGAAGAGUACCACGUCGUCAGCGUAGAGCGAGAUCUCCGGGAUGGGGCGGUGCGGGUGCAGCUGUUCCAAGAUGCCCAGCGACACGGCCCGCUUAAUGAGACGUCCCAGUGUGUCCACGACGAGGACGAACAGUUGAGGUGACAGCGGGUCACCCUGCCGCAGUCCUCGGCGAUAGGGGGGCCUGGCUCGCCGUUGAUCAGUACUCGCGUGCGUGCAGACGACAGCAGGAGGGCCAGCCAGUCGAGGAAUCGGUCUCCGAAGCCGUACUGAUGGAGUACCUCGAACAGGAAGGGCCACGAGACGGUGUCGAAGGAGCACAUUCUACCCUGGAAACAGUAAAUGUCAGCUAAAAAUUGAGAGUCAAUAUUUUUCCCAAAUACUAAAUGUCAUAAAAAAAGUGAAUACAUUGUACCAUGGAAGUACUAAAAUGCCAGCUAAAAAAGUAGGUCUCGCCGGGAUUCGAACCCAGGUCGCCAGAUUCAAAGUCUGGAGUGCUAACCACUACACUACGAAACCAUUUGUUGAGUGUGACCCACUGAUUGUUAUAUUUCUGUCAUUUGGCUUACAUACAAAAUAUUACUUCCUCUGUCUCAAUGUAAGACUUUAGUGUCAAAAAAUGGCUUACGCCUUGAGACAGAGUAUUUAUUUACUCAACGCUUCCUUUUAAAUUUCCUUCUAUCUUUUAGAAUUUGCUUCCGGUUGCCCCUUGGCAUCUAAGUGGAGCAAGAAAUAUCCGAUGAAUGACUUAUUUCUCUUGUUUGGGUCUGCAACACAUUGCUAAAAUAUAAUAUUAAUAAGACAUUGAUGUUCCAUCUUCAGAACAUGGCUAUACGCAUCUAUGGAAACAAGUUGUUCAGUUUGGUCUCCACCAUAAGAAGUGGAGAAGGGAUACGUUCAGUUGCAGUGAUUAAUCUGAAGUUUGUGGCUUUAGGUGCUGAAUGUGCCUUUCUUGAUAGUGUACUGUAAAUUUUGGCAAUGUUGUAGUCAUAACAAUAUAAAUGGAAGACGGGGAUGUUUUAAGUGGCAUUUGCCUCUAGACUGAGUAUUUGUACCAUGGAAGGUCUGGGUACAUUGUACCAGGAAAAUACUAAGUGUCAACAGGAGUACAUUCUACUGUGGAAACACUAAAUGUCAGCAAAAAAAAUGGUGAGUCGAUAUUUUUCCGCAAUACUAAAUGUCGUAAAAAAAUGUGAGUACAUUGUACAUGGAAAUACUAAAAUGCCAUCUAAAAAAGUAGGUCUCGCCGGGAUUCGAACCCAGGUCGCCAGAUUCAAAGUCUGGAGUGCUAACCACUACACUACGAAACCGUUUGUUGAGUGUGAUCCAUCGAUGGUUAUAUUUGUGCCAUUUGGCUUACAGACAAAUAUUGUUUCUUUACUCGAUGCUUCCUGUUAAAUUUCUUUCUACCUUUUUGGAUUGGCUCUGGUUGUCACUUGGUUAUAUUGAAGGAUAAUUGUUUUGAUUGGCCAACUGUGCUUUCAACCACUCGCUACUGGCCAUUGCACUAUCUAAACUUCAUGCUCACUAACAUUGCUAGAAUACAGGAUUUUGAGUGUACAGGUCUGCGUCACAUUGCUAGAAUAGAAUAUUAAUGAGGCAUUGAUGUCCCAUUUCAAGGACAAGGGUACACACAUCUAUGGAAGUAAGUAGUUCAGUUCAGUCCCCAGCGUAAGUAGUGUAGGGAAGAGGCAUUUUUGGUUGCAGCUACUAAUCUGAAGUUAGUAACUAUAGGUACUGAAUUUGCCUUUCUUGAUAGAAGGGCAGAUUGGUGCAUGUAGCUCCCGCUUGCGCGGGGUCCAGAGAAUUUGCCUUUCUUGAUAGUGAGAUGUAAUUUUGGCGAGGUUAUAGUCAGACCAAUGUAGAUCAGAAGACAGAGGUAUGUUUCAAGUGUUAUUAGCCUCUAGAUUGUGAGUAUAUGUACCAUGGAUGGUCUGGGUACACUGUACCAUGGAAAUAUUAAAUGUCAGCAAAAUAGGAGUACAUUCUACCCUGGAAACACUAAAUGUCAGCUAAAAUAUUGUGAGUCAAUAUUUUUCUAGAAUACUAAAUGCCAUAAAAAUGUGAGUACAUUGUACCAUGGAAAAACUAAAAUGGCAGCUAAAAAUGUAGGUCUCGCCGGGAUUCGGACCCAGGUCGCCAGAUUCAAAGUCUGGAGUGCUAACCACUACACUACGAAACCGUUUGUUGAGUGUGAUCCACCGAUGGUUAUAUUUGUGUCAUUUGGCUUACAGACAAAAUACUGUUUCUUUACUUGAUGCUUCUUGUUAAGUUUCCUUAUGUCUUUUUGGACUUGCUUUCAGAUGCCACUUGGCAGCUAAAUGGAGCAAGAAAUAUCCGAUGAAUGGCUUAUUUUCUUUUUUCUUUUCAAUUCAUUUUAGCCAAAGGCUCCAUCGCGUGCGUACGAUCUUUUUGUCUCAUUGGGUUGCUAUUAGAUUUACUAGGUGUUUACUUUUUGAAAAAGCAAUGUGGUCGAUCCAUUCAGUAUGACCCCGAAGGAUUAUUGUGUUGACGGACCAGCUGUGCUUUCGACCACUCGCUAGUGGCCAUUGCAGUUGCUUCUUCAUGUUCACUCACAUUGCUAGAACACAAUAUUAAGGAGGCAUUGAUGCCCCUUUUUAAGAACAAGGGUAUACACAUCUAUGGAAAUAGGUAGUUCACAAGCAGUGGGGAAGGGGAACGUUUGGUUCCAGCUACUAAUCUGAAGUUAGUAACUGUAGGUCCUAAAUCUGCCUUUUUUGAUAGUGUACACCAUUUUGAGUUCUUGUACGGCUUCUUUCAAUCUAAAGUUAGUAACUGCAGUUUCCUUCCUGUGCACCGCUCCUAAAUCGUGAUGUCUGAUAUAGGUACUUUGGUGGUAUCUCAGACCACGUAUGAGAAUCUCCAGUCAGGUGGUAGGCCUAACGUCUAUGAUCAAGGAUGCCUGAGACUCAAGGUACAGGCUUCCAAACACAAGUUCCAGGCAUACAUACAAGAGGAAGUGAGAGCUCCACCAGCCAACCGUUUUGGGAAGGUAGAAAAGGAACCGGCUGGUGCUCGCUGUGCAGAAGUGGAAGAUGACCUGGGUACUGGUGGUGAUCUCGCUGUGCAGAAGUGGAGGAUGACCUGGGUACUGGUGGUUAUCUUACAAGGAUCUCAUUUUCACUUUGACAUGAUUAUGAAGACAUUGAUUUUGAAAGGGGGGGCAGUGGCAAGGGACAGCCUGUGUUUCUAGACAUGCAGCGAAUACAGACGAACAGGUUCCGGCAAUUAGAUGAGUGUUAUGACACUGAAGUCGGGGCUGAAGAACUCAAAAUGGAUAUCUUAUUGUUAGACAUGACAACAAGUGCACCAGUUUCAAAACACACACUGCCACCCCGUAGGGAAGCCCUCAGUAGUCCUUAUGUGACCAGAUAGAUGCUGGUGAUAGUUUAUAUGGAUAGCUAAGCUGAUGAGCUGAUUAAUUCAGACCAAAUCUGGAGAGGCAGCAACAAAAUUCCUUUCAAUGCUUGUUGAACUGAACUGCUUCCAUUGAUGAUCUCCACCAUUUUGUACCUACAGUUUGUUAUUAAUGAAUUGGUGCGGCACCCUACCUUGUCGGGAUGUUUUUUGGUGUUAUUUGUUUAGGAUAGAUGCUACAGAUAUGGAUAGCUAAGCUGAUGACUGAUUGUUCAUGCCAAAUCUGUAGAGGCGAUAACUAAAUGUCCUACAUGUCUGUUGAUUCACUUGGCUGCUUUCAUGGGUGUUCUGCACCAAUUUAUAUCUAUUUUGCUUGUUCUGAAUGAAUCAGCACGCCCUGCUAUCUCAGUCUGUUUUUUUUUUGCUAGUCUUAUGAUGAUAUUAGUGUGAUUCUUUUUGUAACUCGAUGAUGCGGAGUACGUACUUAGGAUGCUAACCUGUAAUUUCCAUGCCCCUGCUUUCAGGUUCUGCAGUGUUCAUUUGAGUCACUGUUGACGAUGAUGAAUUCUCACCCUUGCAUCCCAAAUUUGUCCCGGAUGCAGAUCGAAGUAUGCACAAUAUUGGUUCUGGGCAUAGUGCCGUCGAAUUUACGUUUCACAUUGUGUUACAAAUUGGUCAGGCCAUGAAGUUUUCUCUACCUCAACUGACCACAUACAGAGAUCAUACCAGUUGUUGGUUCGUGCUGCCGACAUGAAUUUCAUUCAUGUCGCGAUCGGCACCAGAUGCAUAUCCGUGGUUGACUGCUGAUCGUGGCACUGUCAGCGUUCCCAGUUGGGCUUCUGGAUUCAGAAUUCUGCGUUGGACUUUAUGUCCCGGUAAAUGCCAAAGUCUGAAGACCUCAAAAUUGUCUGCUCUGAACUGAAUAGAUGUGCACUGUCCCGCGAAAUACAGUGUUGUAUGGUCUCGGCAUUUUCUUGGUCGUCUGCAGUUUUGUGCAAGGGUUUUUGCCUUAUCAGGCAGACGCGUGCUAUAGUCUUAAAAAACGGGCGUCCGUUCCCGUUGCAGUUGACGUUCACCGCUGAAGUCCACUCAAGGGUCGUCCCGUCGUAUGUGAUUUCUUCACCGUUGUUUUGAGGCAGACAGACGUCUUGUAUGCAAGCAGCCUGGCAUAUCUGCCUAUCUGGUGUCACAAAUCGAGAGCAGUGAUGUGCACAGCCACACGGAGCAUAUUCAGUUAGGAGGGAAAUGCACACUGGUGCCUUUAACUUGACAUCUACAGUAUACAUGAGUAUAUGAUCAAUUUAAAGUACAAGACAAGGUACAAAUAAAUCCUAUAGGUUUUGAAUUGUGCUGUCAAAUUUACAGUUUUUACAUCGUGUUACGAAUUGGCUGGGCCAUGAUGUUUCUGUCGGUACAUCCAGAGCUCUCAUGCUUGUGUUAGCUCUAGCAAUCGUUGUCGCAACCCCCGCCAGAACCACAGCUGUACUUGACCGCUGAUUGUGGCGCUGUUUCACCG